AACCUCAUAGGUGGUUUGGGAUGUCUUUUGGCUGUGCUUUAAAAUUUCCAACAGAUUUGCUGCACAUCUUAGGAUAAAUAUGUUUCCUAUGAGUUGUGAUGAUUUCUUACAGUACAUUUGCAAGCAUGUGUAUGCAUCUGCAGGAAACAUAGCCUGGCUCUGUGAAGGAAUACUGCUGUGACCGCAAAACUGUUUCUGUGGAAUUUUCUCCAGUGUGGUCAUCCUGCCUUCAGAGAUUUCUCCAGGACAUCACCUGUAUGAGGUACACAGUGUGAUGACACAUUCUAUGCUUUUCCUACUUGUCUCCACGGCUCAAGCCUGGAAGAAGCCUUAGGACAUGGGGGAAAUGUCUAAUGUGGAGUCCACCUGCUGAGCAGGACUCGGUGUGAAGGAAGAAGCCUUGUUCUGAUUCCUCAUAGCCCAGCCACCCCUUGCCUGAGCUAAGCCUGGCCACAGGACCCACUUGCAGGAAGGGCUGGCCCAUGGCUUCACACUGGGCUCAGGCUGCGCUAAGAGCCCAGGGUGAGGACCUCCAAGCCCGGGAAGCCUCAGUUGGCCAAAGUGCUAGAUGCACGUGGUCUGCCUUCAUCCCUGCUUCCCUCAGAGCUUGCAUUUUCCAAAUUCAAGAGAGCCUCCACCUUCGAGAAGACCAGCCUGUCCCGGUUAUUUGUGUCCCCCUACUAUAUCUCCCUUUGUUCUGCAGAGCGGCCAUACCUGCCAGCAGCCUGCUCUCCCGGCCAUGCUGCGGUUCACAAAAGUCCAGCAUUUGGCUAGCUUCCUGGGGGAAUGAAUCUUUCAGAGCCAAACUAAUGCUAUGCAUGCAGCUUAUGAUUUUUUUUUUGUCUUCAACAAAGUGAAUACUUACUUUUUUUUUGCUCUUUAAA
rnacentral:lncRNA from 1 species